UACGUAGGGUGCGAGCGUUGUCCGGAAUUAUUGGGCGUAAAGGGCUCGUAGGCGGUUUGUCGCGUCGGGAGUGAAAACCUUGGGCUUAAACUCCGAGGGCUUGGCUUUCGAUUACGGGCAGACUAGAGGUAUGCAGGGGGAGAACGGGAAUUCCGUGGGUGUAGCGGUGAAAUGCGCAGAUAUCAGGAAGAACACCCGUGGCGAAGGCGGCGUCUCUGGGACGGUACUGACGCUGAGACGCGAAAGCGUGGGGAGCGAACAGG
rnacentral:rRNA from 1 species